rnacentral:tRNA from 1 species
GCCAGGGUGGUGCAGUAUUGGUCUAGGACCUGGAGACCAGGGUUCGAAUCCUUGCUCCGGCA